GGAGAGUGGAGAAGACACAGGGGAAGAACAUAGAGACCAGAGAUUUGAAAAUAAUUGCCUUAUCCCCAGGAAAGACGUUUUGUUAACUUGGAAGGGGACUGAACUUUAUGUGACUUGGCUAGAGGACCUAGCCAUGGAAGAUCCAGCGAGAAGCAGAUGAGGUGCUACAGAUGAGGACAUGAGAGGUGCUAUGGGUGGUGCCUAAAAUGCAAAUAACCUGUGAGGGCUGGGAAAGAAGUCUGACAAGCCAGGGCAUCCACUUGCAAGCCCUGGAUAGUUUACACAUCAUGGGACCAUCUAGAAAAGUGAACUGAGCAGAGACCUUUCAUGUUGGAAGAAAGGACUUGACUGCAGAUAGUUGGCUUCCAGUAACAGGAGCAGACACAUCCCUUUGGUUGCUUUUGAAGGGAUAAAAAGGCACACAGAGAACUCAUAGCCCACUGUU